AAAAAUAAGAUAAUAUUCCUAAGUUUAUAUAUAUAUAUAUAUAUAUAUAUAUAUAUAUAUAUAUAAUAGCAAUAUGGUGAAAGAUAUACAAUAAUAUUUUUUUUUACGAAAUUAUUGACCGUCCCUAGAGCAAGUGGCAAAGGGUUUGGUAGUUGGUAUCCGAGAUCCAAGUUCGAAUUAUAGUUGAUUCACAUUUCCAGUUAAGUUUAUUUCUAAAUGAAAUAAACGAAACGGGUAGUGUGCUAUCCAUCUCUCUCGAAAAAAACGAAAUUCAUGGUGUUUUAGGAGGACACCUCCUAGUACACCUCCUUUAUUAUAUACUAGUAUAGUUACCCGCGCGAUGCUGCAGGCAGAUAUUAUCGAAAUAUUAGAUUUUUAAUUCAAUCCAACUCAUUUUAAAUAGAAACUAUCAAAUAAUUACAAAAAAUACUGUAAAAUAGAUUAAAAUUAGAUUAAAAAAAAUAGAAAAUAAGAAGAGAGAAAAAAAUAAAAAAUAGAGAAACUCUCACUUAAUGUUGGUCUCUAAGAGAGCGAGGCUUGCCACUGCUUUCACUGCCGCCUCGAUCUCCACUGUCAUUGUCCGUGCUUUCUUCCGCAGCCGUCUUGGUCUCCACUGCCAUGACAUUUACCGUCUCUGCCAACGCUAUGACCUGAAGUAUCUCCCACACCUCAUACUAAAUGAGAAGAGGAUAAUAUAUCAAAAUUAGGAAUUUAAAAAAAAAGAAAAAAAAUAAAUGGAUUUAAUACAUCUUGCUAAAUGAAGAAGGUUGUAAUUUAUUAAAAGAAACAAAAUAGGCUUUCAUUUUCAUGACAUGCAUAAGAGAGAAUAGAGCUUUUGCAUUAGUUUUUAUGAUUUACGAUAAUAUUAGGGUUAAAAUGAGUGAACACAUUAAUUAGACGUUAUAUGCGGAAGGAAGGCAAAGAGUUAGGCCUUUUGGAUGGGUUUCUAAGUUUACGGUUUAGAUAUGAUUAAAUUGAGUUGACGCAUUAACUAAACGUUAUAUGUAAAGGGAAGGCAAAGGGUUGGUUUAAUAAUGUAAAAGUUCAAGAGUAAAGAAAAUACAAAGCAUUUUUUUUUAGGAUUAAUGUCACUAUUACUUAGUGGUUCAAUGAAUCUACAUUGAUUAGCAAUAAAAUUAAUACCAAGUGCGUUAUUUUGUUAAUUUGAUAUUUAGAUAGAGAAAGGGGUUUCAUUUAUUUAUUUAUGAGGAUGAAGGGUAGCUUGCCACGUGGCAAGAAAUAUUGUGCUUUCAUUUAGAUUUAUAGAUUCUUAUUAGAUACAGUAGUAAUGAAAAUAAAGAAAAGAGAAAAAUUGGAAUU
rnacentral:lncRNA from 1 species